UACGUAGGGUGCGAGCGUUAAUCGGAAUUACUGGGCGUAAAGCGUGCGCAGGCGGCGCGUUUAAGACAGGUGUGAAAGCCCCCGAGCUUAACUUGGGAAUUGCGCUUGUGACUGGCGUGCUGGAGUGUGGCAGAGGGAGGUGGAAUUCCACGUGUAGCAGUGAAAAUGCGUAGAGAUGUGGAGGAAUACCGAUGGCGAAGGCAGCCCCCUGGGAUAACACUGACGCUCAUGCACGAAAGCGUGGGGAGCAAACAGG
rnacentral:rRNA from 1 species